AACGAACGCUGGCGGCAUGCUUAACACAUGCAAGUCGAACGGAAAGACCCUAAUUUUUUGGUGUUCUCGAUUGGCGAACGGGUGAGUGACACGUAAGUAACCUGCCCUUGACUUUCGUGUGGCUUCACGAAACUGGAGCUACUACCAGAUAGGAUCUCCUGCUUCAUGGUGAGGGUUGGAACGUUUCUGCGUUUGGGGAUGGACUGGCGGCUUAUCGGCUUGUUGGUGGGGUAGUGGCCCACCAAGGCGUUGACGGGUAGCCGGCCUGAGAGGGUGAUCGGCCACACUGGAACUGAGACACGGUCCAGACUCCUACGGGAGGCAGCAGUGGGGAAUGUUGGACAGUGGGCGCAAGCCUGAUCCAGCCAUACCGCGUGGGUGAAGAAGGCCUUCGGGUUGUAAAGCCCUUUUGUUGGGAAAGAAAAGCAGCAGGUUAAUACCCCGCUGUUCUGACGGUACCCGAAGAAUAAGCACCGGCUAACUACGUG
rnacentral:rRNA from 1 species